AACAAUAGUUUGCAGCUUAUGGGAAAUUCUCACAUGACAUUUGGAACUAUAGUAUACUAUUGUUGCAGAAAACAUAUAUCAGAGCUGCAGCUUAGGAUGUAAGCCGGCAAUGUGGAAAUUGGAUAGCUUAACCACAUAUCUAUUCCUCAUGGAGAAAGCUCAAACCCUGGUGAGUUCAUGUUAUCUCUUCUGGGAGAGGGCAGUGGAUGCCGAUUCCUAAUGUUUCUCUCGAUAUUUCUAAGUACUCCAAUGUCUUUGUAGGCAUGUCACAAGGCUCUCUUAAAAUGGUCAAUGAUCCACUGCCAGUACAAAAA
rnacentral:lncRNA from 1 species